CCUCACCUCACUCCUUCCUUCUUUCUACUUUCUACUCAGGGACGGAGGCAACACUAAACCAAGAGAGGCACUAAGCCCCCUGAAAUUUUUAAAAAAUUUGAGAGUAUAUUAGUAAUUUCACUUCCUAACCCUAAAAUUUUUUUAAAACAGUUGCAUCACUCAUUUCUCCACUGCUCUGCCACAAAGGAAAUCAUCUUCUUUGUUAUUUCUCUCUUUGACCUCACCUCGCUUCUUCCUUCUUUCUACUUCACAAUUUCUUGAAUCAUUUGGCUAGCUCUAUAUACAUGGCGCGAUUUUUAAAAGAAAAUCAAACACUGCAGACUCAUUAUCAAUCAAUCAACCUGUUCAACCAACACCACGUAAGCAGGUGAUUUCUGAGGAAGUUGAGGUCGAUAUAGAAAAUAUUCCUUCUGAUUCAGGACUACAACCUAACAUAAUGAGCUAUCCACCUGAUAUUAGGAAUCAGGUAUGUAGAGUUUACUUACGUAAAGGUUCAUGUCAACCACGCCAUUAUAAAUUUCCUCAAAAGGUAGAUGGAACUUAAAAACGGAGAUUUAUUGCAUCUUAGUUUGAUGAAUUUAGUAGUUGGUUAGAAUAUAGAAUUAAAAAAGAUGUUGUAUAUUAUUUAUAUUGUUAUCUUUUUCCAACUAGGCAUAGUGAAAGAGGUCAUGAUGCUUUUGUAUCCAAAGGUUUUACUAAUUGGCGAAAGAAAGAAAGAUUGAGAGAACAUGUAGAAGACUAUAAUAGAGAUCAUAAUAAAUGUCGGUUAGCUUGUAAAGAUUUGAUGAACCAAGCUCAACACGUUGGAGUUUCUUUUUUAAAACAAUUAGAAUAGUAAAAAAUUGUGUAUCGUUGUAGGUUAAAUGCAUCAAUUAUAUAUCUUCGUUAUAUCUUAAUGCAAUGAUUGGCUUUUUGGGGGAAUGAUGAGUUUGAAAAUUAUUUAAAUCAAGGAAAUUUUCUUGAAUUAUUAAAAGUUCUGGCUUUAUGUAAUAAAGAAAUUAAUAAUGUUGUGUUGAAGAAUACUGCUGACAAUCUCAAACUUACAUCUCUUGAUAUUCAAAAAGACAAAGGCUUUCAUUAUAGUUUUGGGAGAUGAUUUGCUCUCUAUUUUAGUUGAUGAAUGUCGAGAUGUAUCAAUUAAAGAGCAAAUGGGAGUUGUCAUAUGAUAUGACAAUGAAUUUGGAUGUGUCAUUAAAAGAUUUAUUGGUCUUGUGCAUGUCCAUUAUAUAAGUGCAGCUUCUCUUAAAAAAGGUAUUAAGUCUUUGCUCUCUACUUAUGGCUUGAAUAUAUGUAGUUUGAGAGGUCAAGGCUAUGAUGGAGCUAGUAAUAUGCAAGGUGAAUUUAAUGGCCUUAAAAGUUUGAUUUUGAAGGAAAAUUCUAGUGCUUAUUAUAUUCAUUGUUUUGCUCAUCAAUUUCAACUCACACUUAUUGUUGUUGCUAAAAAGCAUUCAAGUAUAGGUUCUUUUUUCAAUAUUGUUACUCGUUUGGUCAAUAUUAUUGAAGGUUCUUGUAAAUGUAGGAAUAUGCUUCGAGAAAAGCAAAUAGAGAAAGUGUUUGAAGGAAUUGCAAAAAGUGAAAUAAAAACUGGACAAUGUCUAAAUAAAAAAAUGGCAUUGAAGAGACCGGAAGAUACUCAUCGGAGUUCUCAUUAUGGUACACUUAUUAAUUUGAUGCAUUUAUUUUCUUUUGUCAUUGAUGUUCUUGAGUAUAUUGGAGAAAAUGGUAGUGAUGAUCUACAAAGGGCUGAAGCAAUCGAUCUGCUAGAUAUUAACAAUCGAUUUAAAUUUGUCUUUGUGUUGCAUCUUAUGAAAAAGGUUUUGGGAAUCACAUAUGAGUUAUCACAAGUUUUACAGAGGAGGGCUCAAGAUAUUGUAAAUGUUAUGAAUCUGGUUAAAGUCUCAAAAUAUAAUUUGCAAGUGAUAAGAGAAAUGGUUAGGAAUCUUUGUUACUUGAGUUAUUGGAAUUUUAUGGUAAAUAUGAUAUAGCUGUAUUAAAUAUAAAGGAUGUCUAUGUAGCUAAAGGGAGAUUAAGGCGUAAGAGUGAAGAAAUGACAAAUCUUCAUCACUAUUGUGUUGAGAUGUUUUAUUCUGUGAUUGAUAUGCAGUUUCAAGAACUUAAUAAUUGAUUUGAUGAAGUGAAUACAAAUUUGCUUUUACGCAUGACAUGUCUUGAUCUUAAGGACUCAUUUUCUACAUUCGAUACAGACAAAUUGAUUCAACUCGCAAAAUUUUAUCCAUGUGAAUUUUCUCUAAUUACUCUAAUUGAACUUGAAUCUUAACUUGAGAACUUUGUCUUUGAUAUGCGUAUGAAUAAGAAAUUUUAUGAAGUGAGUGAAAUUGGAGGUCUUGCUGAGAAAAUAGUUGCUACAAGAAAGCAUAUUAUUUUUCCUUCGGUAUGUUUGUUAAUCAAAUUAGCAUUAAUCUUGCCAGUUGCUACAGCCACAAUGGAAAAAGCUUUUUCUGCAAUGAAUAUAAUUAAACGUUCACUUUGUAAUAGAAUGGGAGACGAGCUACUAAAUUAUUAUUUGGUGACAUACAUUGAAAGAGAUGUAUUUAUAAGUAUUGACAGUGAAAUUAUUAUAAAUAGAUUCAGUUAAUGAAAAAUAGACGAAAAUUAUUAUAAUUUAAUUGUAAUAAUUUAUUAAUAUUUUCCAAGCAAUCUCCUAGUUAAUUUAUAUUUGUUUAUGUAUAUUAUUUUUACAAAUUGCAUAUUUUAAUUGGACGUCUCUCAGUUGAAUUACUGACUUCAUCACUAGCGGCUUAGACCAGUUUCAAUGCCUUUUCAUCAUCUAACGCAGCAAAAGAGUUUCCCAGUGAGAAAGCCAUGGUGAAUGCCCAAAUCUCCACACACACGCGCAGACUGAGAUGUUAAAUUUGAUGCAGGAGAGUCCUUUAUAUGCAUGCAUCAUUACUAGUCCUUUUCCAAACAUGAGUUGGAUUUCACUUUUAAAAUUUAGUAUUUUCCAUGCUUGAAUUGGAUUUCUCUAAUUUGCUGAAGGAAAUAUUUUACUAACCGUUUAUGUCAAAAUGAAACACUAAACUGACUUUAUUUUCCUUCUCUCUCUCUCUUUUUCUUUUAUUCGUUCUCUUGCGUUGUAUGUGGUAAUUGCCUUUGCUGAGAACCCAAACCUCUGGCUAGACGGUUUUAAACAACAAUAUUUGAAGAUGGACAAGAACAGCAAUGUUGAUGGAGUGGCUUUUAGAACUAUUUAUAGGUCUUACACAUGUUGAUUAUGUACACUUUGUUGACUUCUUAUCUCUUUAUUUUACAUUAAAGUCGGAGUGCCCUUUGUUAUGGGAACCUCAGGGAGAGACCAGGAUUUAAAUAAGACCGUAGAGAAGCAGAAAGUUUAUGCUGUGAUGUCCCCACAAAUAGGGAAGCAGGUGAUCAGAAUUUGUAUCUCUGGUUGAUUUAAAGAUGAAACAUAAACUCAUCAUAUUCCAUGUCCUUAUGGAUUAUUAUCUUGGUAGGUAA